UACACGACCGUACCGCAAACCGACACUGGUGCGCGAGAUGAGUAUUCUAAGGCGCUUGAGAGAACUCAGGAGAAGGAACUCGGCAAAUUGACACCCUAACUUCGGAAGAAGGUGUGCCUUUAGUAGGUGAACCAUUUACUUGGGGAGCCCAAUGAGGCUGCAAAAAAUCGGUGGCUGCAACUGUUUAUUAAAAACACAGCACUCUGCUAAGACGAAAGUCGACGUAUAGGGUGUGACGCCUGCCCGGUGCUGGAAGAUUAAAUGAUGGGGUGCAAGCUCUUGAUUGAAGUCCCAGUAAACGGCGGCCGUAACGAUAACGGUCCUAAGGUAGCGAAAUUCCUUGUCGGGUAAGUUCCGACCUGCACGAAUGGCGUAAUGAUGGCCACACUGUCUCCUCCUGAGACUCAGCGAAGUUGAAAUGUUUGUGAUGAUGCAAUCUCCCCGCGGAAAGACGGAAAGACCCCAUGAACCUUUACUGUAGCUUUGUAUUGGACUUUGAACAGAUCUGUGUAGGAUAGGUGGGAGGCUUUGAAGUGUGGUCGCUAGAUCGCAUGGAGCCAACGUUGAAAUACCACCCUGGUGUGUUUGAGGUUCUAACCUAGGUCCAUUAUCUGGAUCGGGGACAGUGCAUGGUAGGCAGUUUGACUGGGGCGGUCUCCUCCCAAAGUGUAACGGAGGAGUUCGAAGGUACGCUAGGUACGGUCGGACAUCGUGCUAAUAGUGCAAUGGCAUAAGCGUGCUUAACUGCGAGACUGACAAGUCGAGCAGAUGCGAAAGCAGGACAUAGUGAUCCGGUGGUUCUGUAUGGAAGGGCCAUCGCUCAACGGAUAAAAGGUACUCUGGAUAACAGGCUGAUACCGCCCAAGAGUUCAUAUCGACGGCGGUGUUUGGCACCUCGAUGUCGGCUCAUCUCAUCCUGGGGCUGUAGCCGGUCCCAAGGGUAUGGCUGUUCGCCAUUUAAAGAGGUACGUGAGCUGGGUUUAAAACGUCGUGAGACAGUUUGGUCCCUAUCUUCCGUGGGCGCUGCAGAUUUGAGGAAGCCUGCUCCUAGUACGAGAGGACCGGAGUGGACGAACCUCUGGUGUAUCGGUUGUCACGCCAGUGGCAUUGCCGAGUAGCUAAGUUCGGAAGAAAUAACCGCUGAAAGCAUCUAAGCGGGAAACUCGUUUCAAGAUUAGAUCUGCCGGGGCCUUGAGCCCCCUAAAGAGUCGUUCAAGACCAGGACGUUGAUAGGUCAGAUGUGGAAGCG
rnacentral:rRNA from 1 species